rnacentral:rRNA from 1 species
UACGAAGGGGGCUAGCGUUGCUCGGAAUCACUGGGCGUAAAGGGUGCGUAGGCGGGUCUUUUAAGUCAGGGGUGAAAUCCUGGAGCUCAACUCCAGAACUGCCUUUGAUACUGAAGAUCUUGAGUUCGGGAGAGGUGAGUGGAACUGCGAGUGUAGAGGUGAAAUUCGUAGAUAUUCGCAAGAACACCAGUGGCGAAGGCGGCUCACUGGCCCGAUACUGACGCUGAGGCACGAAAGCGUGGGGAACAAACAGGG